rnacentral:misc_RNA from 1 species
AAGAGGGUAAAAUUGUUUACUGUUAAUAAAAGAAGAAGUUCAAACAACUAUACAUAUUCUAAUUGAAAUUAAAUUAGGUGAGUGAAAAUUAGGAUAAAAUUAUUGCACAUCAGAUGUAAGUAUGCACAUUAUGAAACUCUGUGAGCUCAACAGAGAUGAACAAAUAAAUAAACCCAAGAACAAAAAUUCGGAAAAACAAUGAUAUUUCAAACCACAUUCAAUCAAAUAUUGCAUUAACAAAAAGUUAACUGCCAAAAGAAUAAAAAAAACACACCAAUUCCAACCAUUUUCGUCACUAAAAAAGCUUCAAUAAUUUUUCCGGAAAAAUGAUUAGACAAAUCAAUUAAGUAAAAGAACCCUUUAAAAAAUAAAUAAAUCAUCAAGGAAACAAAAGGAACAUACCCAAUUGAAAAAAGAAAAUCUUUA